rnacentral:rRNA from 1 species
UACGUAGGGGGCAAGCGUUGUCCGGAUUUAUUGGGCGUAAAGAGCUCGUAGGCGGUUUGUCGCGUCGUUCGUGAAAACUCCACGCUUAACGUGGAGCGUGCGGGCGAUACGGGCAGACUUGAGUUCGGUAGGGGAGACUGGAAUUCCUGGUGUAGCGGUGAAAUGCGUAGAUAUCAGGAGGAACACCGGUGGCGAAGGCGGCUAUCUGGACAGAGUCUGACGCUGAGGCGCGAAAGCUAGGGGAGCAAACAGG